ACACAUGCAAGUCGAGCGGAACGAGUUAACUGAACCUUCGGGGGACGUUAACGGCGUCGAGCGGCGGACGGGUGAGUAAUGCCUGGGAAAUUGCCCUGAUGUGGGGGAUAACCAUUGGAAACGAUGGCUAAUACCGCAUAAUGCCUUCGGGCCAAAGAGGGGGACCUUCGGGCCUCUCGCGUCAGGAUAUGCCCAGGUGGGAUUAGCUAGUUGGUGAGGUAAUGGCUCACCAAGGCGACGAUCCCUAGCUGGUCUGAGAGGAUGAUCAGCCACACUGGAACUGAGACACGGUCCAGACUCCUACGGGAGGCAGCAGUGGGGAAUAUUGCACAAUGGGCGCAAGCCUGAUGCAGCCAUGCCGCGUGUGUGAAGAAGGCCUUCGGGUUGUAAAGCACUUUCAGCAGUGAGGAAGGCGGGUACGUUAAUAGCGUCUCGUUUGACGUUAGCUGCAGAAGAAGCACCGGCUAACUCCGUGCCAGCAGCCGCGGUAAUACGGAGGGUGCGAGCGUUAAUCGGAAUUACUGGGCGUAAAGCGCAUGCAGGUGGUUAGUUAAGUCAGAUGUGAAAGCCCGGGGCUCAACCUCGGAACUGCAUUUGAAACUGGCUGACUAGAGUACUGUAGAGGGGGGUAGAAUUUCAGGUGUAGCGGUGAAAUGCGUAGAGAUCUGAAGGAAUACCAGUGGCGAAGGCGGCCCCCUGGACAGAUACUGACACUCAGAUGCGAAAGCGUGGGGAGCAAACAGGAUUAGAUACCCUGGUAGUCCACGCCGUAAACGAUGUCUACUUGGAGGUUGUGGCCUUGAGCCGUGGCUUUCGGAGCUAACGCGUUAAGUAGACCGCCUGGGGAGUACGGUCGCAAGAUUAAAACUCAAAUGAAUUGACGGGGGCCCGCACAAGCGGUGGAGCAUGUGGUUUAAUUCGAUGCAACGCGAAGAACCUUACCUACUCUUGACAUCCAGAGAACUUAGCAGAGAUGCUUUGGUGCCUUCGGGAACUCUGAGACAGGUGCUGCAUGGCUGUCGUCAGCUCGUGUUGUGAAAUGUUGGGUUAAGUCCCGCAACGAGCGCAACCCUUAUCCUUGUUUGCCAGCACUUCGGGUGGGAACUCCAGGGAGACUGCCGGUGAUAAACCGGAGGAAGGUGGGGACGACGUCAAGUCAUCAUGGCCCUUACGAGUAGGGCUACACACGUGCUACAAUGGCGCAUACAGAGGGCAGCCAACUUGCGAAAGUGAGCGAAUCCCAAAAAGUGCGUCGUAGUCCGGAUUGGAGUCUGCAACUCGACUCCAUGAAGUCGGA
rnacentral:rRNA from 1 species